rnacentral:rRNA from 1 species
CGCAGAGAAUAGGCCCAAGCAACUGUUUAGCAAAAACACAGGUCUCUGCUAAAGCGCAAGCUGAUGUAUAGGGGCUGACGCCUGCCCGGUGCUGGAAGGUUAAGGGGAACACUUAGCGCAAGCGAAGGUGUGAACUUAAGCCCCAGUAAACGGCGGCCGUAACUAUAACGGUCCUAAGGUAGCGAAAUUCCUUGUCAGGUAAGUUCUGACCCGCACGAAUGGCGUAAUGAUUUGGGCACUGUCUCAACUGUGAAUCCGGCGAAGUUGUAGUGCGAGUGAAGAUGCUCGCUACCCGCGAUUGGACGGAAAGACCCCGUAGAGCUUUACUGUAGCUUAGCAUUGAAUUUCGGUAUUGUCUGUACAGGAUAGGUGGGAGACUAGGAAACCAGAGCGUCAGCUUUGGCGGAGUCACCCUUGGGAUACCACCCUGAUAGUACUGAGGUUCUAACUGGAUGCCAUGAAUCUGGUGACAGGACAUUGUUAGGUGGGCAGUUUGACUGGGGCGGUCGCCUCCGAAAGUGUAACGGAGGCGCCCAAAGGUUCCCUCAGAACGGUCGGAAAUCGUUCGAAGAGUGCAAAGGCAGAAGGGAGCCUGACUGCGACACCCACAAGUGGAGCAGGGACGAAAGUCGGGCUUAGUGAUCCGGUGGUACCUCGUGGGAGGGCCAUCGCUCAACGGAUAAAAGCUACCUCGGGGAUAACAGGCUGAUCUCCCCCAAGAGUCCACAUCGACGGGGAGGUUUGGCACCUCGAUGUCGGCUCAUCGCAUCCUGGGGCUGUAUUCGGUCCCAAGGGUUUGGCUGUUCGCCAAUUAAAGCGGUACGCGAGCUGGGUUCAGAACGUCGUGAGACAGUUCGGUCCCUAUCCGGCGUGGGCGUAGGAUAUCUGAGAGGAGCUGUCCUUAGUACGAGAGGACCGGGAUGGAC